rnacentral:rRNA from 1 species
CGCUGAGGAGCGAAAGCAUGUGGAGCGAACAGGAUUAGAUAUCCUGGUAGUGCAUGCCGUAAACGUUAGGCUCUAGGUGUGGGGGACAUUCCACGUUUUCCGCGCCGUAGCUAACGCAUUAAGUGCUCCGCCUGGGGAGUACGGCCGCAAGGCUAAAACUCAAAGGAAUUGACGGGGGCCCGCACAAGCGGCGGAGCAUGCGGAUUAAUUCGAUGCAACGCGAAGAACCUUACCAAGGCUUGACAUGAACCGGUAAUACCUGGAGACAGGUGCCCCGCUUGCGGUCGGUUUACAGGUGGUGCAUGGUUGUCGUCAGCUCGUGUCGUGAGAUGUUGGGUUAAGUCCCGCAACGAGCGCAACCCUCGUUUUAUGUUGCCAGCACGUGAUGGUGGGGACUCAUAGGAGACUGCCGGGGUCAACUCGGAGGAAGGUGGGGAGGACGUCAAAUCAUCAUCCCCCUUAUGUCUUGGUCUUCACCCAUGCUACAAUGACCGGUACAAAGGGUUGCGAUACUGUGAGGUGGAGCUAAUCCCAAAAAGCCGGUCUCAGUUCGGAUUGGGGUCUGCAACUCGACCCCACGAAGUCGGAGUCGCUAGUAAUCGCAGAUCAGCACCGCUGCGGGGAAUACGUUCCCCGGCCUUG